UAGUGUGUGAGGAGCGAACCAGAAGAGGCACCGAGACGAAACACGGCCAGUCGUCGGUGCCUUUUCUGCU
rfam:Gloeomargarita lithophora Alchichica-D10 chromosome.